AUUGAACGCUGGCGGCAGGCUUAACACAUGCAAGUCGAGCGGAGUGAUGGUGCUUGCACUAUCACUUAGCGGCGGACGGGUGAGUAAUGCUUAGGAAUCUGCCUAUUAGUGGGGGACAACAUCUCGAAAGGGAUGCUAAUACCGCAUACGUCCUACGGGAGAAAGCAGGGGAUCACUUGUGACCUUGCGCUAAUAGAUGAGCCUAAGUCGGAUUAGCUAGUUGGUGGGGUAAAGGCCUACCAAGGCGACGAUCUGUAGCGGGUCUGAGAGGAUGAUCCGCCGCACUGGGACUGAGACACGGCCCAGACUCCUACGGGAAGCAGCAGUGGGGAAUAUUGGACAAUGGGGGGAACCCUGAUCCAGCCAUGCCGCGUGUGUGAAGAAGGCCUUGUGGUUGUAAAGCACUUUAAGCGAGGAGGAGGCUCUUUUGGUUAAUACCCAAGAUGAGUGGACGUUACUCGCAGAAUAAGCACCGGCUAACUCUGUGCCAGCCGCCGCCGUAA
rnacentral:rRNA from 1 species